rnacentral:rRNA from 1 species
UACGAAGGGGGCUAGCGUUGCUCGGAAUUACUGGGCGUAAAGCGCACGUAGGCGGCUUCUAAGUCGGGGGUGAAAUCCUGGAGCUCAACUCCAGAACUGCCUUCGAUACUGGAAAGCUCGAGUCCGGGAGAGGUGAGUGGAACUGCGAGUGUAGAGGUGAAAUUCGUAGAUAUUCGCAAGAACACCAGUGGCGAAGGCGGCUCACUGGCCCGGUACUGACGCUGAGGUGCGAAAGCGUGGGGAGCAAACAGG